rnacentral:rRNA from 1 species
AGAGUUUGAUCAUGGCUCAGGAUGAACGCUAGCGGAAGGCUUAAUACAUGCAAGUCGAGCGGUAGGUGGCUUCGGCCAUUGAGAGCGGCGCACGGGUGAGUAACGCGUACAUGACCUGCCUGUCAGAAGGGGAUAGCCCUGGGAAACUGGGAUUAAUACCCUAUGGUAUUGAUAUUAUGAAUGAUAUCAAUUAAAGUUGAGGCGCUGACAGAUGGAUGUGCGUCUGAUUAGCUAGUUGGUAGGGUAACGGCCUACCAAGGCGACGAUCAGUAGGGGCGUGAGAGCGUGGUCCCCCACACGGGUACUGAGACACGGACCCGACUCCUACGGGAGGCAGCAGUAAGGAAUAUUGGUCAAUGCCCGCAAGGGUGAACCAGCCAUUCCGCGUGGAGGAUGAAGGCCCUAUGGGUUGUAAACUUCUUUUAGAUGGGAAGAAAAUGCUAGAUGUAUCUGGUACUGACGGUACCAUCAGAAUAAGCACCGGCUAACUCCGUG